CUCAGAAUAGUACUCAAUUAAUAUUAUUUCAGAAAAACGUCAUGUUGAUCCUAAUCUGCGUGGUGGUGUUCGCUCGUGCGGUACACGCAGGAAGCUCGAAGUCAUACCUUCGUAUAUUCUCACAAUAUCCCGCGAUAUUUGGAAGCUAAUCAAUCCUUUGCACAAGCGAAACAAUAUAUACAGAAUCAUUUACCGCAUGGCGGAACAUCAUAUGUUACGGAUGAGGCUAUUGCUUUCGGAGGCCUCGCAUCAAUAGCAGGGGGCCUGGUUCAAGCCUUUACAAUUGACCCCAGAUAUUACGAACCAAUUAGUAUAAUUGAAGAUUACAAUAACUUCGGAAGAGCAAAUUACACUCACGUAGUUAAAAUGACCAACGAAUUAUUGGAAGAUGCAAGCGCAAAAAUUACACCGAUAAUAAACCUCAUGAGAUCUUUAUGUACCAGAGAACCGUACCUAGGCUGCAAUGAGGCUGUGGACAAGAGCGUCAGAUCUAAUUCCUAUGCCUACUACAUGCCAGCUCGACUACUAAUACAUCUUGGAAAAGUGUCAAAGAAUAUGAUGAGGAAUAUCAUUUUAUUGGAAAAAUUAUUACGUAACAAUGAAGUUGUGUCUUAUUUAUCUGUGCACGCCAAAGAUAGGGGUUUAAUGACGGCCGUUAAAAGAUUGUCGAAGGCUUAUGUCAUAAUGAAACGGAUGGGAACUUUCAAUUAACUUUAAUACAUGUAGACAAUAGAAUAAAACGUAUAAAUAAAAAAUUAUAAUAAAAUAUU